CAAAGAGCACUGUGAGGGCAAAGUGCCAGCACCGUCACCGCAUCUGCAACAGCCCCACUCCACACACCCUCUCCCCCUGCUCCUGGGAGCCCAUGCAUGCGGGGACCAAGCUCCGAGCGGGGACCAAGCUCUGCUGCUCCUCCAGCCGCUGCUGCUCCUGCCCAAGGCCCAGCAAACCACACUCUGCCUCGCAUACAGCAUCACUGAUGUCAUCACGGCACUACACAAGGAGGAAAAGGAUGACCACCUCAGGAUGCGGCAGAUGUCUGUGGCAGCAGAAUACCCAGGUUUCCUGUGCACUCUUAAACAACAAUGGCGCUGUUACCAUGAAAUGCAUUCUGACCUGAGCUGCUCCGUAUCUUCCAAAGAUAGUGUCGCUGAUGAGAUGUCACACUCCCUGUAGAGCUCUCAGGUGCCAGAACUGGAAAAAGACGGAGAAAGGCAGAAAGGAGCAGCAGAGGGAGUUUGCCUCUUAGAGAUCAGCAUGAGGAAGAAAAUUGGAAUAAAUGUAAAUUUUUC